CAAAUCAAUAGCCGUUGAGCGGUAAAAUAGUCGCGGGACGUAAAAAAGAAUCGUGAUUCGUGAAACCAGCCGCAGUUAGAAACCAUCUCCGAUCUCACUCCAUUGCUGCAAAUAAACUACACAGAAAUAGACUGAGUCAGUCAACUCAGUUGAAAAUCAGAAUCCUAAGAAGCUUCAAAGAAAUUAAACGGAAGUUUCAAUCGAGAAUGGAUUCUGAAACUGCUCAUGCAUCUUCAUUACCAGAACCAUCACCUUCUGGUAAACUUUCUGAUGUUGCACCUCCGCCUUCCGUCGUCUCUGCAAAAGAAAGUAUGGCACACAAUUCACUUCUAUGUUGCCUACAUCUGCCAUAUCUUCUUGGGCCAAGAGCUUUAAACUUCCACAAAUGCAACAGGAUUCACAGACUGGAAAUGCUGAGAUAAUAUAUUUGUCAUGACUCAGCAAUGGGCUUGGAUUCCAGUGCCUUCAAAUGUGGAUGACAAGUACUGAAAAGAAAUCUGCAGCUGGACAAUCAGGCAUUUUUGGAAGUUGGAACCUUCGCCAAUGGAAUAGUUAAUGCAUAUUUAAAUGCUGUGAAGGCUGUGCAAGUAAGGACACAGCACAUUAUCUCACAAAAUAAGCGAAGAUACCAGGUAGUUGAACUGUUACUCUAUCUGUAUAAUUUACGUAGAGAGAUUCUAUUUAUCUCUUGGCAAUUACGUUCAUUUUAGACAUCGUCAUUGGCCCGUAGUUUUUUAAUUCACCCACCUUUAUGUGGCUGUUUCUUAUCUUCGCUUCAAUAUGUAUUAAGUAUGGCUAGUCUAUAAAUUACAUAAUCACAUUGCCUCACAAACAACCAGACAUUGAAGUGCAAAUGAAACAAGUGGAUCAAUAAUCUUCGCAGCUGCUAGCUCGUUAGAGGACUUUUCUUUCAUGAUACCAAGCAUGAGGUAUUAUGUAUAAUGGGCAUGCAUUUAAGAUAAUCAACACUGAAGUCUCUGUGAACUGAUUUCAUUCCAUUUUUAUGUUAGGUUUUUCAUUACUCUUUCUUUUCAUUUUGUUGUCAUUUUCCUCUUUCCCUUUAAUGAUCUCUGUGAUUUUGAUAUCUAGGAAUACAGGAAGUAAUAAUGCCAUUUGGCAUUUAUACAGGAGAACUUAUUGGUCUCGGUAAUUAGUAAACUAUGCGUCCUGCUGGAAUUUUCUUUGGUUUCAUAUGCAAUGUUAUUUGGCCAAAAUUUCAUAGUGCAAUGUUCUUCGCAUUGAUGAAAACUAUGUCAUGAUGGGGCACUGGCUUGACACAUGCCCAUUAGUCAUUUGUGCUUAUAUAUGACCUUUAGUAUAUUUUUCUUUGAAAUAAGAAAGAAUUCAUUAAAUUGAACGCUAGCUUGACACACGCUCAUUAGUCAAUUGUGUUUAUAUGACCUUCAGUAUAUUUUUCUCUGAAGAAAGAAUAUAUUAUAUGGAAAGCUGGAGUAAGACCAAAAUAGUCAUAAAUUUCUCUAGGUAACUUUAUCGGUUUAUCAAAAUUGAGAAAAUUGCAGCUGCAGUUCCAAAUCUAUGGCUUGGCUGGCUCUUGGAUCUCUAUUUCAAGUUUGUUGUUACAUGGUUGCCAAACUACUGAUGUAAUUUUUCCAGACAGAAUUUACUGAUGUAAGAGCCACAACCUUAAUCACAAGCACACUUGGUUGGACUCGUACUACAAUCCCUUCUUGCUUCACGAUUAACUAAUUGUAUACCCUUUUACUUUUGGAGAGAGAAAAAUAAGAUUAUAUCUAUCUGAACAGUCAUGAUUUUGUUCAGAUUAGCGUGGACAAAGGAGCAUAUCUUUUGGUCAUGAUUAAAUACCAUUUUGUUACUUUUGGUGAAAAAAAUGGAAAUAUAGCAUUCAUCAUGCAUAGUAUCUAAUUUCUAAUCUUUCACCUCAUAGUAUCAUCUUUUCCAUUAGCUCAUGUGCUACCAUAAUAUUCUAUUUGACACCUUAUGUUGAAAAUCUCUCCUUUCUGGGUUUAGAUGUUUGACGGUGAUAAAGUCAUAUAAAAUAAUAAUGUGUUGCCUCUCUCUCUUCAGGAGGAAGGAUUUGAUUUGGAUAUGAUAUAAAUUACUGAGAAUAUCAUUGCUAUGGGGUUCCCUGCUGGUGACCUGAGUUCUGGUUUAUUUGGAUACUUUUGAGGGUUUCUAUAAGAAUCACAUGGAGGAAGUGAUUAAAUUUUUUGAGACUCAUCAUAGGGCAUCAAGGACCGCACAUUUGUUAACAUUAUGAUGGUGAUCAUUGCUCCAGGUACAAUUUAGUAUUCCUAAAUGAGGCCAUGCUAUGAUAGUAUUGCUAUUGAUAAUUCCAUUAAGAACUUCUUUGGAUAUAAAAAAUUGGAAGCUGUAGGUAAAAAAAAUUUCAAUAUGAGGGAAAUAUUUAUGCAUCAUGUCUGAAACUGUUGAAGCUUACCUGGGCUGUGGAGGAGCCUUGUUCUUGAUUUCUGUGAAUAACAGAUGUUAAUAAUCUUUUGGUGAAAGAUUUGUUUUCUCAACAGUAUUCCAGAAAGUAUUGUUUUGGGAAUGACGUACCUAAAGAGGUGGGUACUUGGGAUAUGGUGUGGUUGAAUUAAGCUGAGUUUUUAAGUUAGGGAGGUGACUUGGGUACUGUAACUUGAACAUGCUUACCAUCAUAUGGUUUAUGCAGUGUAUCAGUCAUGUCUUGGGCCUAUGGAAGAAGACCGUGAAUGUAAUUCACCACAUAAUCCAUCAAUCAACUACAAAUCAAAGUAGCGUGGCUGCAAAUGGUGAUCCAAGUUCAUUGAUAGCCCUAUUGCUGAUGAUAUUUAUACACUUCCAUCGAUAUAGGAGAUGGGAUUUUACAAUCAACCUGCGUUGGACAUGGGAUAUCGCUAUUAGUAUACAUCUAAUUGGAUUUCAUGCACAUAAGAACCGAGGAGUUGGCUUCCCCUGUCUCUUCCCGGACCAGAUCGAUGAGGAAUGCCUAGGAACAUGACCAAUCAAUAAACUACUUAGGUCUAUAUAAAUGUGGCUCAUCAUGGCAAGCCUAAGUUAAUUGAUGUCCUGUAUAGCCUAUAUAAGCGGUCGCGCUUCCGUGCUUCCACCUAAUCUGCAUGUGGGAUGCUGCGAUAUGAUUUUGGUUCUUAUAGUAUUUUAUGCCUACAUCCUGGGCGUCUUCCCAUUGUCUGUAACAUUUUCUAUCUGAAAUUGUUUCAUGCAGGGAAAUACAAAGCGUACACCUUUGUUCAGAGAGGUUAUACGACGCUUCACCGUUUGAAGAACAGUUGUGUUCUGAAUUGAUCUUUUGCAAUUUCAAAAGUUCACUAGAGCUUGGGUUACAAGUGGCACUGGAUAAAUCUUCAAAUGUUUUCAAUACCAUCUCUAGUAUGAUUUUAUAAAAAUGACUGGAUCACUUUGUUGCACUAGUUGAUAGUCACCGGUAACAUCAGCCUAUGUACUUGGUACAGCUAGAUACAUCACGGACUUUUUCGAAUUUCUGUUUUAAAAAUCUGAGAGAUUUCAUUCAACAUGACUUUUUUAGUUCAUCUUCUUCAUUUUUAAUUUUUGUUACAUGGCCCUGCUGGCUCCUUGCUUCUUGGCCACUGACAAUACAGUCUAUGUUAACUUUGUGCAGUUACUUUAUAUUGGACUAUAUGGUAUAUAGUUUUCUUUUUCAUAGAUGCAGGUUGCAUCUUUUCCAUUUGACGACCCCAACUGCCCUCCUAUUGAGCUUAUAAAAUUGUUUUGUCAAAGUAUGUACUCAUGGUUGAAGGAGGACAUUGUAAAUGUGGUAGUUGUUCAUUGUAAAACUGGCAUGGCAAGGACAGGAUUGAUGAUAUGUAGACUUCUUCUAUUCUUAAAGUUCUUUCCCACAGCUGAGGAGUGCAAUGAAGGAUUUUGGCUUACAAGUGUCUGUGUUGACUUAGGUCUUCCCUUCUAUAUCAAAUCAUAAUGGAGGUUCUGUUUUCAACCAAAAAUCAUCCAAAAAACAAGGAUCUCGUGAAGAUUUUUGGAUUCGUGCAGUGAAGAAGGGAAUUGUCGUUUUUGCUCUACCAAGGCUUGGUCUAAAGGAAUUGACGGGGGCCGUUUACUAGUUCGUGAAUAAUCCUUGUUUAUUCUUGAUCUUGUUAAAAUUUUAUAUUUAUCUCAACACAUUCAAUAUCUGCUGAAACGUGUGAUGUGACCCCCUGUGGCAUGGGGUCGUUGUAAAUGAUUUAUCACGUAAGAUCUUCCUGUGGAUGUAGUGGCUACAAAUGCAUCUAGUCUUUAAUCA